GAGCCAGUAUGUGCUUAGUACAUGCAUCUUAUCUUAUCUUGUGCUUAUUUCUGCUACAUGCUGUUAUCUGAUCUCUACAUUGCGUAAUACAUGUUUGAAUAGUUAAUUGUUGUAACUAUGUUUGCAAUAUUACCAGAAUGCAGUUUUAAUGAAGCAGUCAUCAUUAGAAGAUAGUCGCCAAAGCGACCCUGUGCAACAUUAUGAUAAUGCAGUUGUAAUGAAGAAGUCCUUAGUAGAAGAUAGAGCGCAAAAAAGGUUCCGGGGUGAGCCUAUGCAACGAUAUAAUAAUGCAGUUGUGAUGAAGCAAUCUUCAUCAGAAGAGAGGCCCACAAAAUGUUCUGAUCUUUCUUCCGAUGCAUCCUCUCAUAGCCAUCAACCUAG